ACCGUGAGGGAAUGGUGAAAAGUACCCCGGGAGGGGAGUGAAAUAGUACCUGAAACCGUGUGCUUACAAGCCGUUGGAGCCUUUUGGGGUGACAGCGUGCCUUUUGAAGAAUGAGCCUGCGAGUUAGUGUUAUGUCGCGAGGUUAACCCGUGUGGGGUAUCCGUAGCGAAAGCGAGUCUGAAUAGGGCGUUUGAGUGGCAUGACCUAGACCCGAAGCGGAGUGAUCUAUCCAUGGCCAGGUUGAAGCGACGGUAAGACGUCGUGGAGGACCGAACCCACUUCAGUUGAAAAUGGAGGGGAUGAGCUGUGGAUAGGGGUGAAAGGCCAAUCAAACUCUGUGAUAGCUGGUUCUCCCCGAAAUGCAUUUAGGUGCAGCGUUACGUGUUUCUUGCCGGAGGUAGAGCUACUGGAUGGCCGAUGGGCCUUCACGGGUUACUGACGUCAGCUAAACUCCGAAUGCCGGUAAGUGAGAGCGUAGCAGUGAGACAGUGGGGGAUAAGCUUCAUUGUCGAGAGGGAAACAGCCCAGACCAUCAACUAAGGCCCCUAAGCGUGUGCUAAGUGGGAAAGGAUGUGGAGUUGCUGAGACAACCAGGAGGUUGGCUUAGAAGCAGCCAUCCUUGAAAGAGUGCGUAAUAGCUCACUGGUCAAGUGAUUCUGCGCCGAUAAUGUAGCGGGGCUCAAGUACACCGCCGAAGUUGUGGCAAUGACCCUUUGGGGUUGUUGGGUAGGGGAGCGUCGUGUAGCCGGUGAAGCUGCGGUGUAAACCAGUGGUGGAGGCUAUGCGAGUGAGAAUGCAGGCAUGAGUAGCGAAAGAUGAGUGAGAAACUCAUCCGCCGGAUGAUCAAGGGUUCCAGGGUCAAGUUAAUCUGCCCUGGGUUAGUCGGGGCCUAAGGCGAGGCCGACAGGCGUAGUCGAUGGAUAACGGGUUGAUAUUCCCGUACCGGUGAAAAACCGCCCAUACUGAUAUUGUGAUGCUAACCAUGCGAAGCAUGAUGUGCAGGCUUUUGUUUGUGUGUUGUGUGGGUUGUGGGACCCGAUCUUUGGAGGUAAACGUAUUAACAGGUGUGACGCAGGAAGGUAGCCAAGCCACGCGAUGGUUGUCGUGGUCUAAGCGUGUAGGGUUGUCGGUUGUUAAAUGCGCCGGCUGUGUGCCUGAGACGUGAUGGGACCCCGUUUUUGGGGGAUUUGGUGAUCCUAUGCUGCCGAGAAAAGCAUCGGCGUGAGGUUUUAGCCGCCCGUACCCUAAACCGACACAGGUGAUCAGGUAGAGAAUACUAAGGCGAUCGAGAGAAUCAUGGUUAAGGAACUCGGCAAAAUGCCCCCGUAACUUCGGGAGAAGGGGGGCCCUGAGCGUGAUCUGCCCGUGCGGUGGGGAGCGUGUAGGGGUCGCAGAGACCAGGGGGAAGCGACUGUUUAUCAAAAACACAGGUCCGUGCGAAGUCGUAAGACGAUGUAUACGGACUGACUCCUGCCCGGUGCUGGAAGGUUAAGAGGAUUGGUUAGCCUUUUUUGGGCGAAGCUGAGAAUUUAAGCCCCAGUAAACGGCGGUGGUAACUAUAACCAUCCUAAGGUAGCGAAAUUCCUUGUCGGGUAAGUUCCGACCUGCACGAAUGGAGUAACGACUUCCCUACUGUCUCAACCAUGAACUCGGCGAAAUUGCAGUACGAGUAAAGAUGCUCGUUUCGCGCAGCAGGACGGAAAGACCCCGUGACCUUUACUAUAGUUUGGUAUUGGUGUUUGGUUUGGCUUGUGUAGGAUAGGUGGGAGACUGUGAAGCAUGGACGCUAGUUUGUGUGGAGUCGUUGUUGAAAUACCACUCUGGUCAAUCUGGAUGUCUAACUUCGGGCCAUGAUCUGGUUCAGGGACAGUGCCUGAUGGGUAGUUUAACUGGGGCGGUUGCCUCCUAAAGUGUAACGGAGGCGCCCAAAGGUUCCCUCAGCCUGGUUGGCAAUCAGGUGUUGAGUGUAAGUGCACAAGGGAGCUUGACUGUGAGACUGGCAGGUCGAGCAGGGACGAAAGUCGGGACUAGUGAUCCGGCGGUACGUUGUGGAACGGCCGUCGCUCAACGGAUAAAAGGUACCUCGGGGAUAACAGGCUGAUCUUGCCCAAGAGUCCAUAUCGACGGCAUGGUUUGGCACCUCGAUGUCGGCUCGUCGCAUCCUGGGGCUGGAG
rnacentral:rRNA from 1 species